rnacentral:rRNA from 1 species
GGCGAACGCUGGCGGCGUGCUUAACACAUGCAAGUCGAGCGAUGAAGCUCCUUCGGGAGUGGAUUAGCGGCGGACGGGUGAGUAACACGUGGGUAACCUGCCUCAUAGAGGGGAAUAGCCUUUCGAAAGGAAGAUUAAUACCGCAUAAGAUUGUAGCUUCGCAUGAAGCAGCAAUUAAAGGAGUAAUCCGCUAUGAGAUGGACCCGCGUCGCAUUAGCUAGUUGGUGAGGUAACGGCUCACCAAGGCGACGAUGCGUAGCCGACCUGAGAGGGUGAUCGGCCACAUUGGGACUGAGACACGGCCCAGACUCCUACGGGAGGCAGCAGUGGGGAAUAUUGCACAAUGGGGGAAACCUUGAUGCAGCAACGCCGCGUGAGUGAUGACGGUCUUCGGAUUGUAAAGCUCUGUCUUCAGGGACGAUAAUGACGGUACCUGAGGAGGAAGCCACGGCUAACUACGUGCCAGCAGCCGCAGUAA